rnacentral:rRNA from 1 species
UACGGGGGGGGCAAGCGUUGUUCGGAUUUACUGGGCGUAAAGCGCACGUAGGCGGCUCGAUCAGUCAGGGGUGAAAUCCCAGGGCUCAACCCUGGAACUGCCUUUGAUACUGUCGAUCUGGAGUAUGGAAGAGGUGAGUGGAAUUCCGAGUGUAGAGGUGAAAUUCGUAGAUAUUCGGAGGAACACCAGUGGCGAAGGCGGCUCACUGGUCCAUUACUGACGCUGAGGUGCGAAAGCGUGGGGAGCAAACAGG